rnacentral:rRNA from 1 species
CCUACGGGGGGCAGCAGUGGGGGAUAUUGCACAAUGGGGGCAACCCUGAUGCAGCGACGCCGCGUGAGCGAUGGAGUACUUCGGUAUGUAAAGCUCUGUCAGCAGGGAAGAGAAUGACGGUACCUGACCAAGAAGCCCCGGCUAAAUACGUGCCAGCAGCCGCGGUAAUACGUAGGGGGCAAGCGUUAUCCGGAUUUACUGGGUGUAAAGGGAGCGUAGACGGCAUAGCAAGUCUGAUGUGAAAGAUCGGGGCUCAACCCCGGGCCUGCAUUGGAAACUGUUAAGCUGGAGUACAGGAGAGGUAA